CGGCGGACGGGUGAGUAACGCGUGGGUAACCUACCUCAUACAGGGGGAUAACAGUUGGAAACGGCUGCUAAUACCGCAUAAGCGCACAGUACCGCAUGGUACCGUGUGAAAAACUCCGGUGGUAUGAGAUGGACCCGCGUCUGAUUAGCUAGUUGGUGGGGUAACGGCCUACCAAGCCGACGAUCAGUAGCCGACCUGAGAGGGUGACCGGCCACAUUGGGACUGAGACACGGCCCAA
rnacentral:rRNA from 1 species